rnacentral:other from 1 species
ACGGUUAUAAAUCAACAUAUUGAUUUAUAAGCAUGGAAAUCCCCUGAGUGAAACAACGAAUUGCUGUGUAUAGUCUUUGCCCAUCUCCCACGAUGGGCUUUUUUUUAA